ACUCUUCCAACCUCAACCAUUCUGUGGUUCUGUGAAGUCAUCUGGACAAAAAUAAAUGAACACAAAUAGCAGCAGGGCCAAAGGAAGUUCAAGUCUGCAUGGGAUGUAUAGCCAUUUUGGUGUUCCUGUUCACAAGGAAUUGCAGUUUCUGUAUGAUUGAAGCAAAUUGCCCUGCUUUUGCAGUUUGAGACCUUUGGGUAGAUAAACCAUGUUUACGUCUUUUUGACUUGGAAAAAUAAAAUAUUUUUGUUAAGAUUACUGUUUGUUACA
rnacentral:lncRNA from 1 species